GGGGAAGCCAUAGUUAGGGUUUUCAAGCUUCCAAGCUCCAUAAUCAAGAAGUACGAAACUCGAGGUUAGACAAAGGGAAGAAUAAAGUUGAAGACUAAGUUGGUGAAUUUGGCUAUAAUUGGUACCGAGUAUUGCAAAGCUACUUCAAGGAUCCUAAAGAAGUCGGAGAUCGUCCACACUAUCAACCACAACUGCUCGGUAUUUUAUAUCGAAUCACGUUUGAGUUAUGGCAUGUAUAGGGAUUUAGUUUUUUUUGUAUGUUUGUAAUGAUGAUUUUGCUAAUGAGUGAUGUGUAAGUAUUUGAUGAUGUAUGGUCAUUAAAAUGGUUAAGGAUGAAGGUGUUUGUUGUUAUGAAAGAUUAGGUGAUAAAUUAUGCAUGGAAAUCAUGAAAGGAUAAAAUUUUGCAAAGAAACAGAAUUCAGGC